UACAGAGGUCUCAAGCGUUGUUCGGAUUCAUUGGGCGUAAAGGGUGCGUAGGUGGCGCGCUAAGUCAGGUGUGAAAUUUCGGAGCUUAACUCCGAAACUGCAUUUGAUACUGGCGUGCUUGAGGACUGGAGAGGAGACUGGAAUUCAUGGUGUAGCAGUGAAAUGCGUAGAGAUCAUGAGGAAGACCAGUGGCGAAGGCGGGUCUCUGGACAGUUACUGACACUGAGGCACGAAGGCCAGGGGAGCAAACGGG
rnacentral:rRNA from 1 species